GACGAACGCUGGCGGCGUGCUUAACACAUGCAAGUCGAGCGGAGCGGCGAACGGGUGAGUAACGCGUGAGUAACUGCCCCCCUCUCUGGGAUAACAGUUGGAAACGGCUGCUAAUACCGGAUAGUGGGGGAUGACUCGCGUCCUAUCAGCUUGUUGGUGGGGUAGUGGCCUACCAAGGCUACGACGGGUAGCCGGCCUGAGAGGGCGACCGGCCACGUAGGUCUGAGGUAGGGCGCAAACUCCGACGGGGGGCAGCAGUGGGGAAUAUUGCACAGUGGUGGAAACCAUGAUGCAGCGGCGCCGCGUGCGGGAUGGCGGCCUUCGGGUUGUAAACCGCUUUCAGCCAUGACGCGGUAGUGGCAGAAGAAGCACCGGCUAACUACGUGCCAGCAGCCGCGGUAAUUC
rnacentral:rRNA from 1 species